GACGAACGCUGGCGGCGUGCCUAAUACAUGCAAGUAGAACGCUGAAGGAGGAGCUUGCUUCUCUGGAUGAGUUGCGAACGGGUGAGUAACGCGUAGGUAACCUGCCUGGUAGCGGGGGAUAACUAUUGGAAACGAUAGCUAAUACCGCAUAAGAGUAGAUGUUGCAUGUCAUUUGCUUAAAAGGUGCAAUUGCAUCACUACCAGAUGGACCUGCGUUGUAUUAGCUAGUUGGUGGGGUAACGGCUCACCAAGGCGACGAUACAUAGCCGACCUGAGAGGGUGAUCGGCCACACUGGGACUGAGACACGGCCCAGACUCCUACGGGAGGCAGCAGUAGGGAAUCUUCGGCAAUAGACGGAAGUCUGACCGAGCAACGCCGCGUGAGUGAAGAAGGUUUUCGGAUCGUAAAGCUCUGUUGUAAGAGAAGAACGAGUGUGAGAGUGGAAAGUUCACACUGUGACGGUAUCUUACCAGAAAGGGACGGCUAACUACGUG
rnacentral:rRNA from 1 species